rnacentral:tRNA from 1 species
GGCAGAGCAGCUUAGUGGGAGAGUGCUUGCUUAGUAUGAAGGAGACCUGGGUUCAAUCCCCAGCACUGCAA